GCACUGAAGAACUGAUGCAUUCAAACUGUGCUGUUGGAGAAGACUCUUGAGAGUCCCUUGGACUACAAGGAGAUUAGACUAGUCAAUCCUGAAGAAAAUCAACCCUGAAUAUUCAUUGGAAGGACUGAUGCUAAAACUGAAGCUCCAAUACUCUGGCCAACUGAGGGAAGAGCCAACUCAUUGAAAAAGACCUUGAUGCUGGUGAAGGGUUAAUAGGGUAGCAGAGAUGUGCCUGCAAACAGGCCUCUCUGCAAGGGCUGGACGUCCUUGCAAACGAGGCCUUCUGCCAAAGAGUCUGGACCCAGCUUUGAGUUUAAUGGUCCCUUGCAAACAAGGGAGCAUUCCCUUCUUGUGAUAAAGAAGGAAUAGAGGCCUUUGUACAGACUCUGCAGUAGACUAGGAUUUUACUCCCCUUUGCUAUACGAUAACAUGUAUGCACCUGUGUUGUGCUGAAAAGGCUUAUUCAUGCAGUCUGGAAUUCUGCCUAGGGGGCUUUUAUAAUAAACGGCAAUUAGUUUUUUGCCCAGUUCUGUUCCUCCGGCCGGAGUGUGCGUGUCAUCUGUCUUUUGUGUGUCUUGUUCUGUGUCAUUUCACUUGUAAUCUCCAAAAUCCUGGGAAAGAUUGAAGGCAGGAGGAGAAGGGGAUGACAGAGGAUGAGAGGAUUAAACACAAUGGACAUGAGUAUGAGCAAGCUCUGGGAGAUGGUGAAGGAAAGGGAAGCCUGACAAUCUACAGACUAUAGGGUUGAAAAGAGUCAUACUGAGUG
rnacentral:lncRNA from 1 species